rnacentral:rRNA from 1 species
AUAGAAUAAGCCAUGCAUGUCUAAGUAUAAGCAAUCUAUACGGUGAAACUGCGAAUGGCUCAUUACAUCAGUUAUCGUUUAUUUGAUAGUACCUAACCUACUUGGAUAACCGUGGUAAUUCUAGAGCUAAUACAUGCUAAAAACCUCGACUUCGGAAGGGGUGUAUUUAUUAGAUAAAAAACCAAUGCCCUUCGGGGCUCCUUGGUGAUUCAUAAUAACUCAACGAAUCGCAUGGCCUUGCGCCGGCGAUGGUUCAUUCAAAUUUCUGCCCUAUCAACUUUCGAUGGUAGGAUAGUGGCCUACCAUGGUGUUAACGGGUAACGGGGAAUUAGGGUUCUAUUCCGGAGAGGGAGCCUGAGAAACGGCUACCACAUCCAAGGAAGGCAGCAGGCGCGCAAAUUACCCAAUCCCGACACGGGGAGGUAGUGACAAUAAAUAAUGAUACAGGGCCCUUUCGGGUCUUGUAAUUGGAAUGAGUACAAUUAAUCCAUAGCAGAGAAUGACCGAACCUAAACUUGUUAUU